UACGAAGGGGGCUAGCGUUGCUCGGAAUCACUGGGCGUAAAGCGCACGUAGGCGGCUUUUUAAGUCAGGGGUGAAAUCCUGGAGCUCAACUCCAGAACUGCCUUUGAUACUGAGAAGCUUGAGUCCGGGAGAGGUGAGUGGAACUGCGAGUGUAGAGGUGAAAUUCGUAGAUAUUCGCAAGAACACCAGUGGCGAAGGCGGCUCACUGGCCCGGUACUGACGCUGAGGUGCGAAAGCGUGGGGAGCGAACAGG
rnacentral:rRNA from 1 species